rnacentral:rRNA from 1 species
AUGAAAAUCAGUGGUUGGAAGGAAAAGCUGCUAUCAGCAGGAGGAAAGGAAAUCCUUCUCAAAUCGGUUGUACAAGCUAUCCCAACUUAUGCAAUGUCCGUCUUUAAAAUUCCUAAAAAAAUAUGCAAAGGAAUCAUUGACGCGAUGUCGCAUUUUUGGUGGGGUGACGAAGACAAUCAGAAGAGAAUGCAUUGGAUGGCAUGGUGGAAGAUGUGUGUACCAAAAGACCAAGGAGGAAUGGGUUUUCAGGACAUACAUUGUUUUAAUUUGGCCUUAUUAGCCAAACAAGCGUGGCGCCUGCUUGAUAAUCCCGAUUCUCUAUAUGCCACCAUUUUGAGAGCUAAAUAUUUUCCGGACGGAGAU